rnacentral:tRNA from 1 species
ACUAUUUUGGCAGAAAAGUGUGAUAAAUUUAGAAUUUAUUUAUGUAAUAAUAUAUUACAAAUAGUA